rnacentral:rRNA from 1 species
UAGACUGGGACAACUAUUGGAAACGAUAGCUAAUACCGGAUAACAGCAUUAACUGCAUGGUUGAUGUUUGAAAGUUGGUUAUGCUAACACUAUGAGAUGGCUUUGCGGUGCAUUAGCUAGUUGGUGGGGUAAAGGCCCACCAAGGCGACGAUGCAUAGCCGACCUGAGAGGGUGAUCGGCCACACUGGGACUGAGACACGGCCCAG